rnacentral:rRNA from 1 species
AUACGUAGGUGACAAGCGUUAUCCGGAUUUAUUGGGCGUAAAGCGCGUCUAGGCGGCUUAGUAAGUCUGAUGUGAAAAUGCGGGGCUCAACCCCGUAUUGCGUUGGAAACUGCUAAACUAGAGUACUGGAGAGGUAGGCGGAACUACAAGUGUAGAGGUGAAAUUCGUAGAUAUUUGUAGGAAUGCCGAUGGGGAAGCCAGCCUACUGGACAGAUACUGACGCUAAAGCGCGAAAGCGUGGGUAGCAAACAGGAUUAGAUACCCUGGUAGUCCACGCCGUAAACGAUGAUUACUAGGUGUUGGGGGUCGAACCUCAGCGCCCAAGCUAACGCGAUAAGUAAUCCGCCUGGGGAGUACGUACGCAAGUAUGAAACUCAAAGGAAUUGACGGGG